GGGGUUGUGGCUCAGGGGUAGAGUGUUCACCUUGCACGUGCGAGGCCCUGGGUUCGAUCCUCAACACCACA
rnacentral:tRNA from 1 species